CGAAUGCUGACAUAAGUAACGAUAAAGCGGGUGAAAAGCCCGCUCGCCGGAAGACCAAGGGUUCCUGUCCAACGUUAAUCGGGGCAGGGUGAGUCGACCCCUAAGGCGAGGCCGAAAGGCGUAGUCGAUGGGAAACAGGUUAAUAUUCCUGUACUUGGUGUUACUGCGAAGGGGGGACGGAGAAGGCUAUGUUGGCCGGGCGACGGUUGUCCCGGUUUAAGCGUGUAGGCUGGUUUUCCAGGCAAAUCCGGAAAAUCAAGGCUGAGGCGUGAUGACGAGGCACUACGGUGCUGAAGCAACAAAUGCCCUGCUUCCAGGAAAAGCCUCUAAGCAUCAGGUAACAUCAAAUCGUACCCCAAACCGACACAGGUGGUCAGGUAGAGAAUACCAAGGCGCUUGAGAGAACUCGGGUGAAGGAACUAGGCAAAAUGGUGCCGUAACUUCGGGAGAAGGCACGCUGAUAUGUAGGUGAAGUCCCUCGCGGAUGGAGCUGAAAUCAGUCGAAGAUACCAGCUGGCUGCAACUGUUUAUUAAAAACACAGCACUGUGCAAACACGAAAGUGGACGUAUACGGUGUGACGCCUGCCCGGUGCCGGAAGGUUAAUUGAUGGGGUUAGCGCAAGCGAAGCUCUUGAUCGAAGCCCCGGUAAACGGCGGCCGUAACUAUAACGGUCCUAAGGUAGCGAAAUUCCUUGUCGGGUAAGUUCCGACCUGCACGAAUGGCGUAAUGAUGGCCAGGCUGUCUCCACCCGAGACUCAGUGAAAUUGAACUCGCUGUGAAGAUGCAGUGUACCCGCGGCAAGACGGAAAGACCCCGUGAACCUUUACUAUAGCUUGACACUGAACAUUGAGCCUUGAUGUGUAGGAUAGGUGGGAGGCUUUGAAGUGUGGACGCCAGUCUGCAUGGAGCCGACCUUGAAAUACCACCCUUUAAUGUUUGAUGUUCUAACGUUGACCCGUAAUCCGGGUUGCGGACAGUGUCUGGUGGGUAGUUUGACUGGGGCGGUCUCCUCCUAAAGAGUAACGGAGGAGCACGAAGGUUGGCUAAUCCUGGUCGGACAUCAGGAGGUUAGUGCAAUGGCAUAAGC
rnacentral:rRNA from 1 species